AUAAAACAAUAAUAAUAUUGCAGCAAUAUUUCAAAAACGAUAAUACAAAUAUAAUAUUAUAAUUUUAAGCUAAAUUAGACAAAAAAGAUCAUUUUACUACACUUAUAAAAACAGAAUAAAAAAUAUGUAUCAUUAUAAAAAAACAGUAAUUAUUUUUGUCUGGUUUAGUUAUAUUUUUGAUUAUGUAGCGUACAUUUAUAAAAUAUAGUUUAUAACAGUGAAGCAAUGUCUACACUGAGUUUUAUGAGAGAAUAAAAUCGGAACAAACGAAAACUCGUCUGUUUCGCACAUAUUCUCUACUACUAGAAAGCCUUCUCACUCUACAGCCAUUGGCUGUCAUCGAAUAUCCCGCCAAUUCCGGGCGUAUCACUAUCCUCACAUUGCACGUUGUUCUUCUCCUAUGCACAGACUGGCACAGACCAAUUCUCUUAGUAAACUCAUUGUUAGUAUAAAUAUAAGUUGGCACAUACAAUUGGCAUUGUCUCUUUAUAAGUUUGAAAUUCUGGUUUGACAUCUUUACAGUAUAUAACUGGCAUAUGGGUUUUUUUUCUAUGCCCUCUGAGCCAUUACAACAUUGAUUGCAUCUUUACGGUAUUUUAAGGCUGUUCGUACAAUUUACAGUCAUAUGACGGACAACAAUAUAGCUGAGUACACGUCAAAAUGGCUUGCUCAAGCUACAUUAAGAAUUUCUAGAGAAAAGCAAAGUACUCUACAUAAAGAAAACGACGAAGAUCAGCAAUAGGUGGCUCAAAAUGACUUUUAUUUUAUUUAAACAAAGA